UUUAAUGGAGAGGAAUCCAGCCACGGUUUCAGGUUCUGUUUUCCACAGGCUUUUCCCAUGCUGGGUUGCUGUGUGAUGCGACCACUAGAGAGCAGGCUUAACCUAGUAACAAGAGCUAAUUAGUUCUUGGCCUCUUCAUUUGCAGCUCUUCCCCAGCCCCCUUCCACCUUUCCGUCUAGGCAGAGGCGACUUCCAUGGUUCUUAGCUUUGCCUCCAACGCUGUGCAAUCUUAGGGCUAAUUAAAACUGCCACAGACGGCCUGAACCCCGCAUUAAAAUUUGAUGAGGAAUUGAUCAGCCAAGCAAACAGGAAAUUUAGCUGUGUGAGUGAAGAGCAGUGUAGGCACAAGGAAACCCCAAGCUGCAUCAGUCAAAGGUCUGAAGACUUAGAAUGAGCUCUUUUGGGUAGAUAUCACCUUCAGACCUGUAUCUGCAGGGCACUUCUGUUGAGAACUCUCCUCAUCCUCUGGCAGGAGCUCAGCCUGACCCUGGAAGCUCUUCCCAAAGCAGAGCAUUCCCAUCCAGAUUUGGCUUUCAAGCCCAGCACAUCAGCUGGUCCCAGCUCUGCACCAUCCCAGAUUUUCCU